UCGGCAGCUACCAUGCAGUCGACGGCAGCACAGGAGAGCUUGCUCUCUGGGUGGCGAGUGGCGGACGGGUGAGGAAUACAUCGGAAUCUACUUUUUCGUGGGGGAUAACGUAGGGAAACUUACGCUAAUACCGCAUACGACCUACGGGUGAAAGCAGGGGAUCUUCUGACCUUGCGCGAUUGAAUGAGCCGAUGUCGGAUUAUCUAGUUGGCGGGGUAAAGGCCCACCAAGGCGACGAUCCGUAGCUGGUCUGAGAGGAUGAUCAGCCACACUGGAACUGAGACACGGUCCAGACUCCUACGGGAGGCGGCAGUGGGGAAUAUUGGACAAUGGGCGCAAGCCUGAUCCAGCCAUACCGCGUGGGUGAAGAAGGCCUUCGGGUUGUAAAGCCCUUUUGUUGGGAAAGAAAUCCAGCUGGCUAAUACCCGGUUGGGAUGACGGUACCCAAAGAAUAAGCACCGGCUAACUUCGUGCCACCAGCCGCGGUAAUACGAAGGGUGCAAGCGUUACUCGGAAUUACUGGGCGUAAAGCGUGCGUAGGUGGUCGUUUAAGUCCGUUGUGAAAGCCCUGGGCUCAACCUGGGAACUGCAGUGGGUACUGGGCGACUAGAAUGUGGUAUAGGGUAGCGCAAUUCCUGGCUGUAGCAGUGAAAUGCGUAGAGAUCAGGAGGAACAUCCAUGGCGAAAGCAGCUACCUGGACCAACACUGACACUGAGGCACGAAAGCGUGGGGAGCAAAAGGAUUAGAUACCCCUGGUAGUCCACGCCCUAUACGAUGCGAACUGUGAUGUUCGGUGCAAUUGAGCACGCACUAUCGAAGCUAACGCGUUAACGUCGCCGCCAUGAGGAGUACAGUCGCAGACUGAACUCAUGGAGUGAUCCGGGGCCCCACUAGCGCUGUAGUAUUGUAGUUAGUUCGAAUGCACGACGCAAACCGUUACUGGACUUGACAUAGUCUGACG
rnacentral:rRNA from 1 species